GACGAACGCUGGCGGCGUGCCUAAUACAUGCAAGUCGAACGCUGAAGGAGGAGCUUGCUCUUCUGGACGAGUUGCGAACGGGUGAGUAACGCGUAGGUAACCUGCCUGGUAGCGGGGGAUAACUAUUGGAAACGAUAGCUAAUACCGCAUAACAGUAGAUGUUGCAUGACAUUUACUUAAAAGGUGCAAUUGCAUCACUACCAGAUGGACCUGCGUUGUAUUAGCUAGUUGGUGGGGUAACGGCUCACCAAGGCGACGAUACAUAGCCGACCUGAGAGGGGGGUCGGCCACACUGGGACUGAGACACGGCCCAGACUCCUACGGGAGGCAGCAGGAGGGAAUCGUCGGCAAUGGGCGGAAGUCUGACCGAGCAACGCCGCGGGAGUGAAGAAGGUUGUCGGAUCGUAAAGCUCUGUUGUAAGAGAAGAACGAGUGUGAGAGUGGAAAGUUCACACUGUGACGGUAUCUUACCAGAAAGGGACGGCUAACUACGUG
rnacentral:rRNA from 1 species